rnacentral:tRNA from 5 species
GGGUCGUUAGCUCAGUUGGUAGAGCAGUUGACUUUUAAUCAAUUGGUCGCAGGUUCGAAUCCCGCACGACCC